UACGGAGGGUGCAAACGUUGCUCGGAAUCAUUGGGCGUAAAGCGCACGUAGGCGGCCUGUUAAGUCGGGUGUGAAAGCCCUGGGCUCAACCCAGGAAGUGCACUCGAAACUGGCGGGCUUGAAUAUGGAAGAGGGUCGCGGAAUUCCCGGUGUAGAGGUGAAAUUCGUAGAUAUCGGGAGGAACACCAGUGGCGAAGGCGGCGACCUGGGCCAAUAUUGACGCUGAGGUGCGAAAGCGUGGGAGCAACAGG
rnacentral:rRNA from 1 species